rnacentral:rRNA from 1 species
UACGGAGGGUGCGAGCGUUAAUCGGAAUUACUGGGCGUAAAGCGCACGCAGGUGGUUGGGUAAGUCGGAUGUGAAAGCCCUGGGCUUAACCUGGGAACUGCAUUCGAUACUGCCUGGCUAGAGUAUGGGAGAGGGAAGCGGAAUUUCCGGUGUAGCGGUGAAAUGCGUAGAUAUCGGAAGGAACACCAAUGGCGAAGGCAGCUUCCUGGCCCAAUACUGACGCUCAGGUGCGAAAGCGUGGGGAUCAAACAGG